AUGAUGCGCGGCAAGGAUCAGAGGCCCGCGGCAUUCUCCCCGAUGAGGGAGUCGGUGGCGGCGGCGGUGCAGGAGGAGGUGUGGGAGGUCCGGCCGAGCGGCAUGCUGGUGCAGAAGCGCACCCCGGACUCGGACCCGCCCCCCGGCGGCGCGCCCGUUCCCACCAUCCGCGUCAAGGUCAAGUACGCCGGCGUGUACCACGAGGUGUACAUCAACUCCCAGGCCUCCUUCGGGGAGCUCAAGAAGCUCAUGUCCGAGAAGACGGGGCUGCACCCGGACGACCAGAAGGUGGUGUACAAGGACAGGGAGCGGGACUCCAAGGCCUUCCUCGACAUGGUCGGCGUCAAGGACCGCUCCAAGAUGACGCUGCUCGAGGACCCCACCGCCCAGGCCAAGCGCCUCAUCGAGGAGCGCCGGAAUACCAAGGCCCAGCGCGCCGCCAAGGCCGUCUCGCGCGUCAGCCUCGACCUCGACAAGCUCGCGUCCAAGGUGUCGGCGCUGGAGACGAUCGUUAGCAAGGGCGGCAAGGUGGUGGAGGCCGACCUGGUCACGCUCACCGAGGCGCUGAUGAGCGAGCUGCUCAAGCUGGACGCCAUCGUCGCCGAGGGCGACGUCAAGGACCAGCGGCGGAUCCAGGAGAAGCGGGUGCAGAAGAACGUGGAGACGCUGGACGCCAUCCGCGCCAAGACGACCAAGAAAAACACUACACCUGCCGCAACGGCCAAUAAGGCCCGGGCGCCGCACCUACCCCCUCGUCCGCCGCCGGCGCAGCAGCACCAGCAGCGCCGGCAGUUCCAGCCGGCUGCACCCACCACGGCGACCGCCCCCGCGCCGCAGACCGCGACGACGAACUGGGAUACGUUCGACCUGCUGUCCUCCGCGCCCUCUUCUUCGUCACCGGCGCCGGUGUCCACCAUGGCGCUGGCGACCACCACCUCGCCGUCCCCGAGGUUCGAGUGGGAGCUCUUCUAG
rnacentral:rRNA from 1 species